rnacentral:rRNA from 1 species
CUGCUGCCUUCCGUAGGAGUUUGGGCCGUGUCUCAGUCCCAAUGUGGCCGUCCACCCUCUCAGGCCGGCUACUGAUCGCUGCCUUGGUGGGCCGUUACCCCGCCAACUAGCUAAUCAGACGCGGAUCCAUCGUAUACCACCGGAGUUUUUCACACUGCCCCAUGCGGAGCCGUGCGCUUAUGCGGUAUUAGCACCUAUUUCUAAGUGUUAUCCCCCGGUAUACGGCACGUUAUCCACGCGUUACUCACCCGUCCGCCA